UUGCCAAGUUUUUCAGGAAGUGCUAGUGGCCAUUUUGAUGAUGUGAACUAGAUUUUAAAACAGAAAGAGGAAAAAUGAAUGUGGUGGACAAGGGCUGCUGACAAUAUUAGAUAGAAUCAGAGAUGGAGUCUCACUAUGUUGCCCAGUCUGGACUUGAAGUCUUGGCCUCAAGCAAACCCCCUUGCGUCAGCCUCUGAAAGUGCUGGGAUUACAGGCAUGAGCUACCGUGCUUGCCUUCUCCUCCUUCUCCUUCUCCUUCUUCUCCUCCUCCUCCUCCUUCUCCUUCUUCUUCAUUGUUAAUUUUAGGUGCAGCAAUUCCAUCCAGGGGAUAAAAGAUUUAUUUAUUUUAUUUUAUCAUUUUUUAAAAUUUAUUUUUUCGAGAUGGAGUCUCGCUCUGUCUCCCAGGCUGGAGUGCAGUGGUACGAUCUCGGCUCA
rnacentral:lncRNA from 1 species